GAUGAACGCUAGCGGCAGGCUUAACACAUGCAAGUCGAGGGGCAGCACAGGGAGCAAUCCUGGGUGGCGACCGGCGGAAGGGUGCGUAACGCGUGAGCAACUUGCCCGUAUCUGGGAGAUAACCGAUGGAAACGUCGACUAAUAUCCCAUAACACAAUUUGUGGCAUCGCAGAUUGUUAAAAGAGAAUCGGAUACGGAUAGGCUCGCGUGACAUUAGCUAGUUGGAGUGGUAACGGCACACCAAGGCGACGAUCGGUAGCCGGACUGAGAGGUUGAACGGCCACAUUGGGACUGAGACACGGCCCAA
rnacentral:rRNA from 1 species